UACGAAGGGGGCUAGCGUUGCUCGGAAUCACUGGGCGUAAAGCGCACGUAGGCGGCUUCUUAAGUCAGGGGUGAAAUCCUGGAGCUCAACUCCAGAACUGCCUUUGAUACUGAGGAUCUUGGGUUCGGGAGAGGUGAGUGGAACUGCGAGUGUAGAGGUGAAAUUCGUAGAUAUUCGCAAGAACACCAGUGGCGAAGGCGGCUCACUGGCCCGAUACUGACGCUGAGGCACGAAAGCGUGGGAGCAAACAGG
rnacentral:rRNA from 1 species